CUUGGAUUGGCUUUGUCCUGCGCAGGACGAUAGAAAGAAUCGGAAAAUUAUCCGUGAAGCAAACAACAAUGUUAAGGGGAAAGGCUGGAUGGAAUUUACCAACAAAUUUAUGCAUUUUGUGAUAAAAUGCUGCCAUAAGUUUUUGGAUAAUCAGAUCACUGCAAGGUUAAACCAAAGGACCAAAUUGUCGCAUAUUGAAAUGGGUUUUGCCUUGAAACUUAUUCCAGAAUAUAUAAUGCACAUGAAAGUUAAAAUUCGAUAGGUUUGUACAAAAGUUCCUAGAAAGUAAUAAACUCGAAAUAUUUGAAAA